AAAAAUAUUAAACCGGAAAAAAAAAUUGAAGGGAUCGAUCGCUACUUAUGGAAGCAGAGAGAUCCUAUCAUCGAACUGCUGAAAAAGAUGAUGUAAGACUAUUAGUCACACCUCAUUUGGUAUCGUCCUGUUUCUUUCAAACUUCUUCAUGGGCAUGCAUGUGUGUGUUUAUAAGGAAGGUUCUUAAUCAAGCUUAUAUGUAAUUACUUUGAUGCAUUUAUAAGACUUUCAUAUCUUAAAAAUAUUAUAUACAUUUUGGAGUACAUGAUGAUACAAAAAUUGACGGCUUUUGAAGGAAGGGUAAGUCCCUAAUGUUUAAGCUAAUGGAAACUCCAUUGAACUCAAAAUAUUAGUGUUCUUGAUUUAUUUAGGUUAAGCUGUAUGGGGUUCUUGAUUUUGAAGAAUUCAAGAACAUGAUGCUGCUUUCAAAAUCUUGAUUCAUUUUUCUGUAAAUAUAAGAUUCUGAUGAAGUUUGAGGGUUCCUGCGAUCAGCUUUCAACUCAUCGUCGGGUCAAAUUUUUGUUGCUUUUAGUUUCCCAAUUAAUUUCUUUCUCAAUAUGAUGGGUUCCUG
rnacentral:lncRNA from 1 species